CACGCUUCCAAACUCUCUGCAUCAAGAAUUCGCUUGGCCAACAUCUCUGCAAGCUUGUGCAGGAGUGAAGAAGUUUGAUGCCUUCUAGAUGAAAGGCUAGAAUCAAUUUUUCUAGCACAAGGUACUUCAGAGUUGGCUAAACAACAGUGUUUGAAGAACUUCCCUUCUCUGACUAAUGAUUUGACUACCUUGGUCAAGAAGAACAUCAGCUGUUCAGAGCUCACACAAAAGAGGUCAAUCAGUUCCACAGGUCUUGGCUUCAGAAUCCUUUAGGAUGUCCAGCAUUUCUUGAUAGGUGGUGAACCUCCUUUCAUUUGCACAGUACAAUCUUCACAUCUUCAGAGGCAUGUUCUAAAGCCAAUGACAGAUGUGAAAACAGCUGUUUUACAAACAACAUGUACAAAAUGUCGUCCUCUUGCACACACACAAGCUGAAUUAUGUGCCUGCAAUAAGACACGCUGGCACCCUUAAGUCCUGAUGUUUUUGUUUCAAGCACUCUGUCAAAUGUGUUUUGUAGCAGUUGAGAAAAUUGAGGCCAAAUGAUACCUGAUCAAUAACAGGAAACAUGGACCUAUUUUCAACCAAAGUAGUGUUGGCCAAACCUGCCGAUAAGGAAAUGGAUGUGGACGAACAUGCUUUUUGUGUGGUAUUCUGAAUACUGCAGUUGUCAAAGCUCUUCAGCCUUUAUGUCUGCCAGCAGCAAAGAGCAGCAAGUUUCCAAGACAGACCAGGGAAGGACAAUCUGAACAAACAUUAAUGAAUGGGAUUCAGCUCCUCCUGGGCCAUGCAAAGAUGGCAGAAGGGAGGAUCACCUCAUCGGGGAUCACCUUGUUCAGUGUCAGUGCAUGAAGAGCUAAGCAGGGAUUUCUUCAGAAGAUUUCACAGGACCCUCUGGAUCACCAAAGAAUGGGGUAUUCUCAGGUUGUCUUCCAUUUUCUUCGAAGAGAGAGGAAGCUGCAGGUCUGGCUACCUUCUUGCUGCAGAAUUGGUUUCAGUAAGCCAUCAGUCUUGGGGGCUAACUGGGUCUUAUCAGCGGCACCUGGGCGCACCUGACACACACAUCUUGCACCAGAAUGAGACAUUUCUGCUUUAGCUGAGAAACUCAUCUGAGGUGAGGGCUGGUGGCUGGGUAGAGGCGUGAACACAGCCAGACACAUCACCCCAAGCCAGCUCAACUGCAGCACCGAGUCCUUUCUAUGCUGUUUUGAACCCUUCCCUGACUGGACAAAUCCAGCUGAGCUAGCUUCCCAUUGGAGGCUGGAAGGGGAGAGAGCUGGAUUUGACAGGGAGUCAGUGGUGUGCGAGGAUCUUAGAAGAGGGGUGGUGUGGGGCAGAAAGAGAGAUGGAGAGCCAGGGAGUGGACUGCAGUGAGAAAGAAGCCCAGAGGGGCUCCCCACCACCUUUCCUUGGGGCUGGCCAAGCACCACUGAUGCCUGUGGGGGCGUGACAUGGGCUGGGGAGAGGACUUAGCUUAGGGAGCAGAGGGCAGGACUGUUCCCCUCCCAUGGUGCAUGGUCUAAUCCAAGGCUGGGAUGGAGUGCGAGUCCCCGGAGACUUGUCAGUCCCCUGCUGUCAGCACUGGGUGGAAAAAUGACCUGACAAAGCCUCCAGGGCCCCUUGCUUUGGUUCAGGCUCUGCAUGGCAGGGUGCUGUCACUGUGAGCUUGCAAUGAUACAGGGCUUCCUAUGGGUCCACACAGUGGGGUCCUCCAGGGCCCUGCAGGAUGCAGGUGCCUGGGAGAGCUGGGCCCUGCUGUGUCAGGUAGUUGGUACAGGUGUCACCAGCAUUGUGCAGAAGAUGAAGGCUGGGGAAGGCAAGAAAGAUGCCUCCCUGGUAAUACCGCCUUGGCAGUGUGAAUUUGCAUCUGUCUCUGCACCUGAAGAUGUGGAGAAAAACCAUUUAUUCAUGUAGAUAUUGAAAUUUGGGAAUUCCCUGUUUCCAGACAGACCUAACUUGCACCCUGGGCACUGGGUUUGCCAAAGUCCUGAGCAGCCCCAGGAGCCAAAGAACUCUGUGGGAGCUGGGCUCUGCACAUCCCAAAACUCACCUAGACAGUGUAGCAGGCUGGGCACUGGUGUCUCGAAGCGGGCACC
ensembl:lncRNA